rnacentral:rRNA from 1 species
UACGAAGGGGGCUAGCGUUGCUCGGAUUGACUGGGCGUAAAGGGCGCGUAGGCGGUUCGUACAGUCAGACGUGAAAUUCCUGGGCUCAACCUGGGGGCUGCGUUUGAUACGUGCGGACUUGAGUGCGGAAGAGGGUCGUGGAAUUCCCAGUGUAGAGGUGAAAUUCGUAGAUAUUGGGAGGAACACCAGUGGCGAAGGCGGCUCACUGGACCGGUUCUGACGCUGAGGCGCGAAAGCGUGGGGAGCAAACGGG